GUUCAGUGGAAAUAAGCAUUCUGUCAUUUUUUUCUUAGCACAUUUUUUGUCUUCUCUUCCAUUCAGUUAUGUUGAAAGCUACAUGUUGGAUCUGUUUUUUAGUUAUGACAUUAGAUCUUCAUCUGAGAUUAUCUAAACUAGUUUGGUUUUCUUUUGAUUAUAAUCUCCUUUUUUUUAAUCUGCUAACACAAGCUCAUGUUUAUCUAGAAAAUGCGCUUUCUCCUCAAAGUCAUGAAUCGCAUGAAUUUCCUUUGAGUUAGUUCAAAUUAUCUAGAAAUUAACAAAUUUCAAAAAAGAAAAAAUAUACUAAAAUGUAGUCAAAGCUUUAUGAGAAUACUUUAUUUGCUGUAUCUCAGCUAGUCACUGAGUAGCUGUCAUAAACCUAUGACAUAAACCUAUGACAUAAACCUACUGUCAUAUACCGAUGACAGUACAGUAUUGAAAAACCAGGUGCACCAGGUUCUUGUUUUCAUUCUUGAUAGGUUCUAAGUUCAUUAAACCAGUCUUGCAGUUACUCAGAGAUCCACAAAACCAAGUGUUCCUCUUGUUAUCUUGCUUAGCUCAUUUUGGGUAAAAUGCAUCAAAUGGCAGAAUGAAAAAUUU
rnacentral:lncRNA from 1 species